rnacentral:rRNA from 1 species
UGAAGAGCGGCGAACGGGUGAGUAACGCGUGGGAAAUCUGCCGAGUAGCGGGGGACAACGUUUGGAAACGAACGCUAAUACCGCAUAACAAUGAGAAUCGCAUGAUUCUUAUUUAAAAGAAGCAAUUGCUUCACUACUUGAUGAUCCCGCGUUGUAUUAGCUAGUUGGUAGUGUAAAGGACUACCAAGGCGAUGAUACAUAGCCGACCUGAGAGGGUGAUCGGCCACACUGGGACUGAGACACGGCCCAGACUCCUACGGGAGGCAGCAGUAGGGAAUCUUCGGCAAUGGGGGCAACCCUGACCGAGCAACGCCGCGUGAGUGAAGAAGGU